rnacentral:rRNA from 1 species
UCUUAGUUCGUGGAGUGAUCUGUCUGCUUAAUUGCGUUUCACUAAGGGCCCAUAAAUUCAAGGUAUGUUAGCUAUCGUUUCUCAAUUGACCCCUUGUCUUCGAUAAGCGCGUGUCUUUUAGAGUUUAAACAUUGCGCAUGCUGUUGGGUCCUGAAAGCAACGAACGUGACCGCAACGUCUUAUUGCCUUUAUCUUGCUAUAUUUUAAUUUAAUUAAAAAUAGCUAACAGAGGCUAAUUUAAAAUUAGACGGACCGCUGUACUUUUCUUAAACCAGAGGAAGGUUGCGGCAAUAACAGGUCUGUGAUGCCCUUAGAUGUUCCGGGCUGCACACGUGCUACAAUGAUCAGUACAGUGAGCAUCUCAAUAUUAUACACCGUAUUAAGCGCUUAGUUGCGAUUAUUGGCUCAUUAUUGGGUCUUUUAAUUGUAUUUCUAAUGCGCGCGGUAAAGCCUGCUUCGAGAGUAAGUGGGUAAUCCAUUGGAAGUAAUGAUUUCUCUUUUUAUAGCACACCUAUAUACGGCAUUCAUUCCCGGGACGACUAGUUUCGUCUUUUUUGUGCGAAUGUAAUGUAUUCUUUAUCCGUAUGUGCGAUUGUCAAUU